AGUGUUGUAAAUACAACUUAACCACUGAUUUCUAGUUGUGUCAAUAUGUUGCUGACUUGAGAGGACUGGCAAAACCGUGCUGUUUUGGUGCUUUAUCAGAUGAGAUGAUACGAGAUCAGUUGAUUGAGAAAACAACCAAUACACUCGUUCGGGAGCGGCUGUUAUUGGAAGAUGAUAAUCUCACUUUAGAGAAAGCUGUAAUUCUGGCCUCUCAAAUUGAGUCUGCUGCACAGUGUGCUGCUAAAUUAAAUACAUUACACGAAUCAAGUGUAAGCCGUGGGGACAUGAUACAAGAAUGCAGACAAGUUUACAGGACAGAGGCAGAUGUAUCUUCAAGUGCAGACAUACAAUAUGCACGUCCUCAAGUUAAUCGGCGAUGUGGAAAUUGUGGGUCCACUAGGCACUCAUCACGUGCCCCUGACUGCCCUGCACGGGGGCAAACAUGCCGACGCUGUCAAAAGCUGAACCACUUUGCAAAAUGUUGUCGGUCUGCCCCAGUUCAAGCUCCUACACAACGAAACCCACGUGUUAACAAUACAACCCCUGCCAUUAUUCAUUCAAUAAAUACCAAUUCAGCAGGGUUUUCUACAUGCGCUGUUACUAUAGCAGAUUCCUGUAUUUCACUGCUACUGGACACAGGGGCUAAAGUCUCACUACUCAAUAUGGCUACUUAUGAACGUUUCCUGACACACUUGCCCCUUCAGCCACCUUCUCUGAAUCUGUUUGGAUAUGGAAGUUCUGCAAUUGAUGUUAUCGGCCUUGUACAUGCGCCUGUCCAGUAUGGCAACAAGGUCCUACCCAACUUCCCUUUUCACAUUACACACCAUGGCAACAAUAUCCUUGGAUUGGACCUGUUUAUUAGUCUGGGCUUUUCUCUGCUGGACAAUAAGGGGGCUCAAAUUCUGACUGUCAGCUGUCCCUGGCAACAUGAAUGGCCAACAUUGUUUGAAGGCCUUGGCUGCCUAGCUGCGUUCACUCAUCAGCCUCUUUUGGAUCCUACAGUUAAACCAGUCAUUCAGCCACUUCGCCGCAUUCCGCUGGCAUUGCAUGAGGAAGUCACAGCAGAACUUGUGAAACUGCAAGCAGAGGGCAUCAUCGAACCUGUUUACGCCUCCCCAUGGGUGUCUAAUCUGACAGUGGCUAAGAAAAAAUCUGGCGGACUAAGAGUUUGUGUGGAUUUAAGGUCUGUCAAUAAAGCAGUGAUCCCAGAUCGCUACACUCUGCCAUCAAUCGAAGAGCUGACUACACACUUUCAUGGCUCAACAAUUUUUUCCAAACUUGACCUCCGUCAAGGCUAUCUCCAGGUUCCCCUCCAC
ensembl:lncRNA